AUUGAACGCUGGCGGCAGGCCUAACACAUGCAAGUCGAGCGGAUGAAGGGAGCUUGCUCCUGGAUUCAGCGGCGGACGGGUGAGUAAUGCCUAGGAAUCUGCCUGGUAGUGGGGGAUAACGUCCGGACACGGGCGCUAAUACCGCAUACGUCCUGAUGGAGAAAGUGGGGGAUCUUCGGACCUCACGCUAUCAGAUGAGCCUAGGUCGGAUUAGCUAGUUGGUGGGGUAAAGGCCUACCAAGGCGACGAUCCGUAACUGGUCUGAGAGGAUGAUCAGUCACACUGGAACUGAGACACGGUCCAGACUCCUACGGGAGGCAGCAGUGGGGAAUAUUGGACAAUGGGCGAAAGCCUGAUCCAGCCAUGCCGCGUGUGUGAAGAAGGUCUUCGGAUUGUAAAGCACUUUAAGUUGGGAGGAAGGGCAGUAAGUUAAUACCUUGCUGUUUUGACGGUACCAAAAGAAUAAGCACCGGCUAACUUCGUG
rnacentral:rRNA from 1 species